ensembl:lncRNA
ACCCACCACAAGGACCCAGACCCAUUUGACUCUGUGAUUCUGGUGUCCAGCAUCAGAAGAUGGGCAGAAAUGAGCUUCAACAUCAAGGCUGGAGCUGGACAGCCUGGCGGCUGAUGAGGACAAGCUGGCAUCUGGCCACCAGGAGAAUCUUUCUGAGAAGAACAAAAUUCCUGCCACCAGGAAUCCCCUAAUGUAACCAGUGGAUAUCGUGGGAGACAAGACAGCCCCGGAUAAUAAACUGAUUUGGAGAAAAAUAAGAACUGUGUCCGGGGGAUGGAUGCCUUCCUGAACUGGUGACCUCUGAGCUAGAGUUGAAGGUGAAGUAUCCAGCGGGGGGAACAGCCCAGGAGGGAACAGCCAGGGCGAAGGUUCUGGGGAGGGUACAAACUUUACCUCUCACUCCCACACUCUGCACUGGCCACUUCCCAUCUCAAGCAGGCCAUUUCACACCAAAAACAGGACUCCUGAACCUCUCCACACACAUCCCACCCUUAUCUCUGAGGUCACCCUCAAACCUAGAGUAGAAUUAAGCUUCCC